AGUCUAUGCAGGUUAAACUUGGUUUUCAUUCUGUGGAUCUCCAUGACAUUGGUGUGCUCGGGUUACCCAGUUGGACCUUCCAUGGUUAUUGGCAAGGAAGGCAAUUAAAUAGCCUGACCUAAUAGCAUCUAAUUAACUUGCAAGCCUGAAAAUUCCCCGUUGGAAUGACAUCCCAAUACUCGGGUUUCUGAUUGCCCAGCACAUAUUAAAAUUUGAAGUCAUUGGGUUGAUUAUUCCAGAAAUUAAGCCGAUCUUAAAAGCUCGAUCAGCCGAGACCCAUCUUUUUGACUUCUUCAGUGUGAACCUUCCAGAAGACAUGGAAGGGCUCAGUGUGACAAGAAAUGAGCUGUGGAGAGCUGCUCUCCAGACAUCAUCCCCAGACAUCAUCCCCAGAUUUCAUCCACAACUUCCUGAAGACAACAGGGAGCGAUGGAAUCUUCCACGGGUUAUGCCUCAGGCGUUCGGUGCAUUGAGGGUCGGAAUAUUUUGUGUUCACUCCUUGUGGUCGGUCAAACGAACCUGUGAAUUGAAAAGAUUGGAGGAUUUUGGAGCCAUUCAUCACGCAAAAGUGAGUAGUCACCUUUUAGCCACCUCUGGAUUAAUACCCUGCAAUGUCAUGGAAGGGCUGUGCUGCAUUAAUUCCCACGAAUUCCAGCUGGGAAACCACGGAGCCCUCACAGACAACUGUUGGGAAUGGGAAUAGUUAAUAUGUGUGAGGUUUUAUAAAUUGCCCACCCUCCCAGCUAUACUGAUACCAUGAAAAUGUCACUUUUGAGAGAUUUCCCAGAAUUGUGAUCGUUUUUUAGUGAAAAUAGCAGUUUUUGUUUGGAGCACGUUCGUAACCUCAGCCCCAGCCUGCCGAAGAACUUGGCAACCAGAACUGGUUAAAAUACGUUGGAAAAAAGCAGGAAAAUGGGACACUGCCCUCUAACGUCAACAAAUCCAAGCAAAAGGGACUGGAAAGCACCACAGGCAGGUGAAGUGGGAUGAGGAUUCACUCUGGAUGAACAGAGCUUGGAGUAGGAAAGUAGAGGAGCAUUUGAAAUUUGGGGGUUUCAACAGCAUCAAAUGCAGCUGAGCUUCCAGGAAAAGCCAAAUCUGAGCCUCAAGUUCCAUUUGUUUCUCAAAUCCUGCCCCAGGUGAGGCUUCAUCUGUUUCCUUCCUGCCUUUUAGUGGGAUGAACAUUUAGUGGGAUUGGAUCAGAUGGUCCAUUGUGACCUUUUCCCACCUCACCCAUUCCGUGAUCCUGUUUUCCAUGGAAAGGUGGACUCCAAACACAGAAUACUUCAUGCCAGUUGCUAAAACACUCAGAUUAAGUAAAAUAAACAUGUCUUGGAUCUGUUACCACUUCCUAUUGCACCAAAUGUGCUUUAAAAAUAUCAAAGAUACCCAAAAAAGGGAAAAGUCACUAUUUGCAUUAAUAUCAAAGAUCGGAGAACACAGGGAAAGGUCCCUGUGUGAGGUCCCACUCUGUGAUUUCGACACCACCAGAUUUUGGGGAUUUGUUUUCCCUUGCUGCCCAGCAGCAGAUUUCUGUGCAUUUCACAUUUAUUUGUGGCCACCAAUUCACACCCUGGGACCAGUGCUCCUUUUCCAUGGAGAAGGGCUCGGGGAAUAAACAUGAAAGGUGUUCCCAAAACACUCCAGACAGCAAUGCUUAAUUUUGUGAUCACUCAGGCAGCUCACAGGAAUAUUCACAGGGGAAGGACACCAAGGUGGAUGCAAAUCCAAACAUGAUUGAAGCAUCAAUCACUUAUUCAUGGAGAAAUAUUUACAGUGGGGUUUUUUUAACUUGAUGAAGAGAUAAUGAAAUGUGUGUCCUAGGGGGGUUUAUGGGCAAAUUUUAUUCCAAACAUUUGCAAUUAAUGCAGAAAUGGUGCACUCCUCGAGUAUUGAAAAGGGCCAGGAAUGAAACAAAACCCCAGAGGGGUUGAAAUCAGGCUGGCCAGGACUUAUGUCCAAACCGUUUUCCAUUGGAAAAUGCCAGAUCAUAAAGAAUGAAGUGAUCUGUGGAAAUCAAUCAAUCCUGACAGAGUCACAGCAAGGAACAUUCCCUGCCAGCUGUCAAGCUCCUGCUCCAGUCUCCUUCAGGAGCAGAUCCAGGAUGUUCACCCACCCGGACACCUGGACACACAUCCCAUGUCCUGUGUCCUUCCCAGCCCUGGAAGCCACCAGGAGCUCCAGAGCCACUGAAACCCAGUGUCACUGUGACCUUUCUGCUGAGCUGCAUGACAGAUUUCCUGGUCUGGAGUGACACGUGCAGGUGUGUUUGCUUUUUCCCUUUUAUUGUACAUUUUUAACCUCAGAAUUACCGGCACUGAUUUCUGGUCUCCUGAACAAGAAAGGAAAAGCAAAUCCAAGCUGAAAACUGGCAAAACCUGGAGAAAAGCUUUCCCACUCUCCCAGAGCACUGACUCUAAAAGACCAGCAGAUUUAUUGAUGUUAGCAAGUGUUUAUUCCUUGUUUUCCAGAUAAUCCAAAGCAAGCCGAGUGCUCCUGGUACUAAAAGGAGCGGGAAGUGCCAGCCUUGGAGAGCUGCCACCUCGACUGGCCAUUCCCAAACUGCACUGCAGGCACUCCCAGGGGCUGUAGCACGGUGUGUUUCCAGCCCUCCAGGAGGUGUUUCCACAAGCCUUGGCAGCACUUUUGGGUACAUCUGUGGAGGUUGGAGAUGCCCGUGAGCAGAUGGAGCUGCUGCAGAUGGCCCGGCUGGCACACACGGGGAGGAGGGGUGCCACUACAUGAGGUACUUCAAUCACCUUCCACCUCCGUGAACUGGUGUGACCAUAGCUUCCACUGCAGCUCAGACACCUCCAGAUUGCCUUGCUGUUGGCCAAAGAAGCACUUUGGGGAUGAACAGAUGCUGACUUGAUCAAAACCUCUUGUGUUCGCUCUGGUACCUCUUUAAAACCAGCAGCAGAGACCUUGGCUCUGUGGAUGAAGAUUCCAACAUUAGUUCCCACUUGGUUCCGUGGACAUCACCAUUCCUGUUCACCCCUCUUGGAGUGGAGCUUAAGGUCCCUUCCCAAAAAAACCCCAUCGCACGGCUCUGCAGCUUCUGGAGCCCUGGGUCCAUGGAAAUGCAGUUUCAGAGGAGCUCCGAGGAAAUGGUGUUUUGGGGAGAGCAGAGUGGCUGGAACAGAGGAACAGGAUCGGUCUCCUCGAGCGAGCCCUUGUGUCUCAGGGAGCGGGAUCGGCUCGCUCCUAACGCACCUGGUGACUCCCAGAGCGGGGCAUGGAAACGCAGCCCUGGUCCGAAAGAAACCCUGCCCGGGAAGGCGGGCUGGGAUUGGGAGCUGGCUGCGGGAGCUCGCUGUUAAAGGCGAUCUUUUGGCUGUAAAGGUGCGCCUUUGUCUCUGUGCGAAGCACCCGGCCGUAGCGCCCUUUGCGCUGCUGUCUCCUGAUUUCCUUAAGCUUUUAUUAAACUGUCCCUUUUCUUCAACUUUCCUUCAAAUUCU